rnacentral:rRNA from 1 species
UACGUAGGGGGCAAGCGUUGUCCGGAUUUAUUGGGCGUAAAGAGCGUGUAGGCGGCCAAGCAGGUCCGCUGUGAAAACUCGAGGCUCAACCUCGAGACGUCGGUGGAAACCGUUUGGCUAGAGUCCGGAAGAGGAGAGUGGAAUUCCCGGUGUAGCGGUGAAAUGCGCAGAUAUCGGGAAGAACACCCGUGGCGAAGGCGGCUCUCUGGGACGGUACUGACGCUGAGGCACGAAGGCCAGGGGAGCAAACGGG